rnacentral:rRNA from 1 species
ACUUCCUUCGGGGAGGGGAUUAGCGGCGGACGGGUGAGUAACACGUGGGUAACCUGCCUCAAAGAGGGGGAUAGCCUUCCGAAAGGGAGAUUAAUACCGCAUAACAUUAUUUUAUGGCAUCAUAGAAUAAUCAAAGGAGCAAUCCGCUUUGAGAUGGACCCGCGGCGCAUUAGCUAGUUGGUGAGGUAAGGGCUCACCAAGGCGACGAUGCGUAGCCGACCUGAGAGGGUGAUCGGCCACAUUGGAACUGAGACACGGUCCAGACUCCUACGGGAGGCAGCAGUGGGGAAUAUUGCGCAAUGGGGGAAACCCUGACGCAGCAACGCCGCGUGAGUGAUGAAGGUUUUCGGAUCGUAAAACUCUGUCUUUAGGGACGAUAAUGACGGUACCUAAGGAGGAAGCCACGGCUAACUACGUGCCAGCAGCCGCGGUAAUACGUAGGUGGCAAGCGUUGUCCGGAUUUACUGGGCGUAAAGAGUAUGUAGGUGGGUGCUUAAGUCAGAUGUGAAAUUCCCGGGCUUAACCUGGGCGCUGCAUUUGAAACUGGGCAUCUAGAGUGCAGGAGAGGAAAGUGGAAUUCCUAGUGUAGCGGUGAAAUGCGUAGAGAUUAGGAAGAACACCAGUGGC